GGAAGUCUGGUGCCAGCAGCCGCGGUAAUUCCAGCUCCAAUAGCGUAUAUUAAAGUUGUUGCAGUUAAAAAGCUCGUAGUUGAACCUCGGGAUCAAUGGAUCGGUCAUGCCAUCGGUAUGUACUGGUCUCAUUGGUUCUCACCUUCUAAGGAGCCAUGAUGUCAUUCAGUUGAUGUUGUGGGGAAUUAGGACUGUUACCUUGAAAAAAUUAGAGUGUUUAAAGCAGGCUAACGCUUGAAUACAUUAGCAUGGAAUAAUGAAAUAGGACAUCGCAUUCUAUUUUGUUGGUUUCUAGGAUCGAUGUAAUGAUUAAUAGGGAUAGUUGGGGGCAUUAGUAUUCAAUUGUCAGAGGUGAAAUUCUUGGAUUUAUUGAAGACUAACUACUGCGAAAGCAUUUGCCAAGGAUGUUUUCAUUAAUCAAGAACGAAAGUUAGGGGAUCGAAGACGAUCAGAUACCGUCGUAGUCUUAACCAUAAACUAUGCCGACUAGGGAUCGGAUGAUGUUGAUUUUUUAAUGACUCAUUCGGCGCCUUACGGGAAAC
rnacentral:rRNA from 1 species